rnacentral:rRNA from 1 species
UAAUACGUAGGGUGCAAGCGUUAAUCGGAAUUACUGGGCGUAAAGCGUGCGCAGGCGGUUCGGAAAGAAAGAUGUGAAAUCCCAGAGCUUAACUUUGGAACUGCAUUUUUAACUACCGGGCUAGAGUGUGUCAGAGGGAGGUGGAAUUCCGCGUGUAGCAGUGAAAUGCGUAGAUAUGCGGAGGAACACCGAUGGCGAAGGCAGCCUCCUGGGAUAACACUGACGCUCAUGCACGAAAGCGUGGGGAGCAAACAGGAUUAGAUACCCUGGUAGUCCACGCCCUAAACGAUGUCAACUAGCUGUUGGGGCCUUCGGGCCUUGGUAGCGCAGCUAACGCGUGAAGUUGACCGCCUGGGGAGUACGGUCGCAAGAUUAAAACUCAAAUGAAUUGACGG